rnacentral:tRNA from 1 species
GCUCAGGUGGUGGAAUGCUCGACACGCAUGUUUGAGGUGCAUGUCCCGCAAGGUAGAGGGGCUCGAGUCCCCUCUUGAGCACCA